GAAUCUUCCACAAUGGGCGAAAGCCUGAUGGAGCGACACCGCGUGAGGGAUGAAGGCCUUAGGGUUGUAAACCUCUAAAAGAGGGACGAUAAUGACGGUACCUCUUGAGAAGCACCGGCUAACUCCGUGCCAGCAGCCGCGGUAAUACGGAGGGUGCAAGCGUUAUCCGGAAUCACUGGGCGUAAAGGGCGCGUAGGCGGUCUGUUAAGUCCGAUGUCAAAUCCCGGGGCUCAACCCCGGAUCGGCGUUGGAUACUGGCAGGCUUGACGGCUGGAGAGGCGAGUGGAAUUACCAGUGUAGCGGUGGAAUGCGUAGAUACUGGUAGGAAUACCCAUUGCGAAGGCAGCUCGCUGGACAGCACGUGACGCUGAGGCGCGAAAGUGUGGGGAGCAAACCG
rnacentral:rRNA from 1 species